GUAUCCAGUAUGCAGUACUCAGUUACUCAGUACUAAGUAUGCAGUGAUUAGUACUCUGCACUCUGCAGUACUUAGUUCUCAGUACUCAGUAUCCAGUAUGCAGUACGUAGUACUCAGUACUCAUGGAUUUCAAUACUCAGUACGCAGUGCUCAGUGCUCAGUAAUCAUUAUUCAGUACGCAGUACGCAUUACUCGUGCAAGAACUCAGCAAUUUAUACUCUCAGUAAACAAUGUUUAGCAUUCGGUGCUCAAUGGAUUAGAUUAUGAGACAGCACAGAUAUUUAAUGUUUUCAUAAAAAAUUUAAUUUAAUAUUUUGACAAGAUGAUCCUGCAAAUGAGAGCUGUCUUGCAGUUUUCAUCCUCAAGUCUGAAAUAUGUCGAUGCUUCACUUAGCUAUAGCUUUGCUUGGUUUAGUUCUACAAAGGCCAAGGCGCUGCGACAGUAUAAAGUCGACCCAGUCUUGAAAACUGAUGCAAAUUGAACAUUUGUGAUGUUUAUCCCUUGUUCCGUGCUGAAAGGAAAAUGUUUCGUUUAACUGUUUAUGUUAAGCGUUUCAUUACAAAAAUAUACAAAAGUUUCCUCUCCGUUCAUACAAGCAGUUUGGAUAGUUACAGGGUAAAAGUAGACAAAACAGAAAUAGCUGAAAAAGGAUUGGAGAUGAAAUUGUCAGUUUUAAACUUUGCAAUAUUGAAAACGACGAUAUCUUCCACAUUAUUUAUCAGAUAAAGGUUUAAAUGUCCCUUUUUAAUGAUGAAAUUACGUCUACAGUCCAGGAGGUGAAAAUCUUUUCCGAAGAGGAGAUAAAAUGUCAAAUAAAUUGAACUUGAAGUUCAAGUUCAAACUAUAUCUGUAAAUAUGAAAUAAAUAAAUAUAAUCUAUUGAA